rnacentral:rRNA from 1 species
AUAUUAUUAAGUGGAGGAAAAGAAACCAAAAGGGAUUCCCCCAGUAGCGGCGAGCGAAAAGGGAUCAGCCCAAAGCCGAAUCCCGUGCCCCCUGGGCACCGGGAAAUGUGGCGUAUGGGAGGGUGCCUAACGGCGCGUCGGAGGCGGCUCAAGUUUCCUUGAAUGGAACCCAGACCGAAGCGGGUGUUAGUCCCGUACGGCUGUUCUCCGCGUUUCGUGUCGGGCCCUUCCCGGGAGUCGGGUUGCUUGAAAGUGCAGCCCAAAGUGGGUGGUAUGCUCCACCUAAGGCUAAAUAUUCCCGAGAGACCGAUAGCAAAAAAGUACCGUGAGGGAAAGUUGAAAAGAACUUUGAAGAGAGAGUUCAAUAGUACGUGAAACCGCUUAGAGGUAAACGGGUGGGCCCACGAAGUCUGAAGACAAGCUCCUAACAGAGCCUUUUCCGCACYUGCACGCGCUGACAACCGACCUGUCUUGCGUACGGUACGAUAGGGGAAAGGACUCUGGUGGCUUCUAUGUCUGAAGAGGCCGCGACUGGUUGGUCGACCAUCGGAAGGACUGGAUUGAAAGGUCGCCCCUUGGGUUUUGUUUCUUUCUAGUAUAGCUGGUGAUCGUGCCGACUCAGGACGAGAGAAAACUCGAACGGCCUUUGGGCCCCGGGUCAGCGGUCAGUAGAUCGGGUCCCACCCGACCCGUCUUG